AGCUUGCUAAGGUCAGUAAGUAGAAAUUCUCAUCUAUUAAUGCAAAUUAUAAUACUGUAGGAAUACUCAGCUGGCCAGAUACCUGAAGCAUGUCGAGAGAAGGACUCUAAUAAAAACUAAACACCUUAUGUUUAUAUGGCACUCUUAAGAUUUUCAAACAUCUUUCAUUUACAUUAAUCUCAUUUGAUCGUUGCAAACUACCCCAUGCUGCAGGAAGGCCAGAUAUCAUUCUUCCCCUUGAGACUCACAGAGGUUCUAGGUUAUAUGGCUGCAAAGUGGCAGGAAAGAGACCAGACUAGAUGGGCUUUCUUCUGCAUCAUAAUCAGUCCAGCUUCUUUGUUGGGUGCCUGGGAUGCACAGCCAGGGUACAGGGGUGGGUGGAGGAGAACAGUGGACAAAACACAAAUCAUGGCCAUUCUUUCUAACUGGCCCACCUCAAAGAAAACUAGAGUCAGUGCAAACUGGCAUUGCCUAUUUUGAUUUUGAGACUUGGCAUCAUAUAAAUGUGCAGGCCUGCCCAGAACUGGUAAAGGCAGAAGAAAAAAAGAGAAGGAAUGAACACUUCAACACAAUUUACAGGCUACUGCCUUUCUCACCAGCAAAAAAAGUCUCCCAAGUCUGGAGGAAUGGAAGUGGAGGAGGGUGAGGGAAGGAGCGCCACUGGUGACAGGUUUUAUCCCAAGAGAAGGGAAUCACACCCUUGGAGCUGUGAAAAAUGAAUCAUGUCUUUUCUAUCAAGACUUCACACAGAUUUUCUGGGAAACUUGUCAUUGAGGAUACAAUAGAGACAACUGUCCUUUUUGGUAGUGUAGCAUUUUCUGGAGGGAACUGUGUAAAUCAUUCUGGGGAUUAAACAGCAAAUUAAAAUGAAGAUUAAAGGUGUGUCCUGUGGCUUUGGUGGGCUGUGUUCACCUUUUCUGGAGGUCAGUACAUCCAUCUAAUUGAAAGAGAAAAUGUCACAUUUAGUUGCAAGAGUGUAAAGGGGUGACGUUUCUCGUCCCACCUUUCAUGCUAGGAUCAAGGUCUUCUCUUCAAAAGAGCAGUAAAGAGCAUCUAUGCAGCACCUUUCGGUUUACAAGGCACUUCCAUGGGCAUCGUUAUACUUAAGCGUCACUAAAGCAGAUUUAUGGGGCCUGUCUUCUAGGUGAGAUAGCUUAAGGCCACAGCUGAGGGCACACAUUAGUGGGCUUCUAGCUCAAAGCCUACACUCUCCACUUCAUCACAAGGUGGAUCCACUCAGUCUGUAGACACGGGCAGAGUGAUUGAUGUGCUUUCUUGUUGGCACCACGUUAAGAAGAUGAACAACCAUCUCAAUUUGCCUGAGACUGAAGCGUUUUCCAGGACAUGGGACAGUCCUGGGCAAAUUGGGACAACUCGUCACCUUACAUAUUAUGUCUCCAGAAGUCCUCAUAGGAGAUUCUUCAAGAGUCACAAUGAGUGCUAAGAUGUUUUAGGAGGACACAGCUAUAUAUGCAUGGGAUUGGCAUAUCAUUUCCUCCUACUCAAUAUUUGCAAGCAUUUUAAAAUUUAACAUUUUGCUGUUCUCCGAAGAUCGUCAUUUUGACCACUUUUUCUCCCUCAUUUUUUCUUCCUUGUUGUCUCAGAUCCCAAGGGGUGUAUGGGGAGGAGGGAUGGAAACAGGGAAAAAGUAAGUAAAGAAAGACAUUGGCUCCCAUUUUUAAAAUGUGGUUUUGGUUACAGUUUGUUGAGGACUAAUUUGUAAUAGUAAUUCUCAAACUUGAAUAUGUUGGUAGACAGCCUCUAAGACGGUCCCCAGUGAUUCCUGCAUCUUGGUGUGGAUGAUCUUGUGUAAUUCUCUUCCCUUGAGUUUACUGUGGAUUUGGAUUUGUCUUGCGGAGUCUGUGUGUGUGUGUGUGUGUGUCUGUCUGUCUGUCUGUCUCUCUCUCUCUCACCCCUAGCUCUGGGAAAAGCCAGCAGCCCAUGUGGUGAAGAACUGAGGUUUCCAGCUAAUAGCCAGAAAGGACCUGAGCUUGGCAGCAGAUUCUCCAGCACCAGUGCAGUCUAGAGAUGUUUGCAGCCUGAACCAACACCUUGAUUUCAGCAUCACGAGAGACGCUUAAGCCAGAAUCACAAAGCUAAAUCAAUCCCAAAUUCCUGACCCAUAUGAACUGUGAGAUAAUCAAUGUUGGUUGUUUUCAGCCUCUGUGUUUUAGGGAGAUUUGUGUGGAAGCGAUAAACUAGUACAAAUGUGCAUCAGAAUCACCUAGAUAACAACUCGAUAAAAUGUAUAUUUCUGGGUCUUACCCCUGGAAAUUUUAUUCAGUAGAUGUGGCCUGAAGUUUCUGCUUUUUCAUCAGGAAUCCCAGGAGACUCAGAACUGAACAAAUACCUGCUUGAGAGCACAUAGCAAGAAAAAACACUCCCUGUGAAGACUGUAAAGGGAGAUGAUGAAACUCAGGUCCAGACAGGUGAGGGCUUGCUCAGGAUCCCACCUCCUUUUCUGGAUCCCCCAGUCCUGCCACCAAGACACCACCACUGCUAUCACCACCACCACCAAGGCGGGCACCUAAACAUUUUGUAAAUGAAUGAAAGUGCUACAGUCCCGACUCCUGAGAGAAGAACUAAUAAUUGUGUACAAAG